AUUGAACGCUGGCGGCAGGCUUAACACAUGCAAGUCGAGCGGGGGAAGGUAGCUUGCUACUGGACCUAGCGGCGGACGGGUGAGUAAUGCUUAGGAAUCUGCCUAUUAGUGGGGGGCAACAUCUCGAAAGGGAUGCUAAUACCGCAUACGUACUACGGGAGAAAGCAGGGGAUCUUCGGACCUUGCGCUAAUAGAUGAGCCUAAGUCGGAUUAGCUAGUGGGUGGGGUAAAGGCCUACCAAGGCGACGAUCUGUAGCGGGUCUGAGAGGAUGAUCCGCCACACUGGGACUGAGACACGGCCCAGACUCCUACGGGAGGCAGCAGUGGGGAAUAUUGGACAAUGGGGGGAACCCUGAUCCAGCCAUGCCGCGUGUGUGAAGAAGGCCUUAUGGUUGUAAAGCACUUUAAGCGAGGAGGAGGCUACUUUAGUUAAUACCUAGAGAUAGUGGACGUUACUCGCAGAAUAAGCACCGGCUAACUCUGUGCCAGCCGCCGCCGUAA
rnacentral:rRNA from 1 species